rnacentral:snRNA from 2 species
AUACCUUUCUCGGCCUUUUGGCUAAGAUCAAGUGUAGUAUCUGUUCUUAUCAGGUUAAUAUCUGAUAUGUGAGGUAUAUCCUCACAAUGAUAUUAAAUUUAUUUUUUUGUGGGGAGGGUCCGCCCACUGGGGCCCUUAGGUGUUGCCUAGGCGUUGCACUACAGCCUGCCACUACAGCCCUG